rnacentral:rRNA from 1 species
GGCAGCACGGAGCUUGCUCUGGUGGCGAGUGGCGAACGGGUGAGUAAUGCGUCGGAACGUAUCCAAUAAUGGGGGAUAACGCAGCGAAAGCUGUGCUAAUACCGCAUACGCCCUCCGGGGGAAAGCAGGGGAUCGUAAGACCUUGCGUUAAUGGAGCGGCCGACGUCUGAUUAGCUAGUUGGUAGGGUAAAGGCCUACCAAGGCGACGAUCAGUAGCUGGUCUGAGAGGAUGAUCAGCCACACUGGGACUGAGACACGGCCCAGACUCCUACGGGAGGCAGCAGUGGGGAAUUUUGGACAAUGGGCGCAAGCCUGAUCCAGCCAUUCCGCGUGAGUGAAGAAGGCCUUCGGGUUGUAAAGCUCUUUCAGGAGGGAAGAAACGAUUGUGGCUAAUACCCAUGAUUAAUGACGGUACCUUCAGAAGAAGCACCGGCUAACUACGUGCCAGCAGCCGCGGUAAUACGUAGGGUGCGAGCGUUAAUCGGAAUUACUGGGCGUAAAGCGUGCACAGGCGGUUUUUCAAGUCUGAUGUGAAAUCCCCGGGCUUAACCUGGGAACUGCGUUGGAAACUGAAAGACUAGAGUGCGGCAGAGGGGGGUAGAAUUCCACGUGUAGCAGUGAAAUGCGUAGAUAUGUGGAGGAAUACCGAUGGCGAAGGCAGCCCCCUGGGUCGACACUGACGCUCAUGCACGAAAGCGUGGGUAGCAAACAGGAUUAGAUACCCUGGUAGUCCACGCCCUAAACGAUGUCAACUAGUUGUUGGGGAGGGAGACCUCCUUAGUAACGCAGCUAACGCGUGAAGUUGACCGCCUGGGGAGUACGGUCGCAAGAUUAAAACUCAAAGGAAUUGACGGGGGCCCGCACAAGCGGUGGAUUAUGUGGAUUAAUUCGAUGCAACGCGAAAAACCUUACCUACCCUNGAC